AAUAACUUUUAUGGGUAGAGAUUGGCUGGUGAUCACAGAUGCUUAUUCCAAGUAUCCAUGCAUUCAUCCUACUUCCUCCAUGUCCUCCAAAACCACUUUAAAUCUGCUUGAAGAAGACUUUGCGCACUUCAGAUUUCCUCACACACUGGUCACCGAUAACGCACCAACUUUUACGUCUGAGGAGUUCCAGAGCUGGUGCAAAGAACGUGGGAUCACACACCUGACAGGGGCACCUUACCACCCAGCUACCAACGGAGCAGCGGAACGUUUGGUGCAGACCUUCAAACAAGCUUUGAGGAAGUGUUCUCUUCCGCCGACACGAGCACUUCAGUACCGGAGGAUUCUGCAGUACCGGAGAACACCGACAUCCUGUGGAUUCUCUCCAAGUGAACUUUUGAAUCACCGGCAGAUACGAACAAGGAUUGAUUCUCUGCUGCCAUCACCAGCACACAUUGCUCAAAGCAAACAGUCUAAGGAAGCAUAUAAGUCUCAGGUGACUCCAGGCUUGGCUGAUGUCGCUAAAGUUACCAGGCAGUACAAGGCCGGAGAUCCUGUGUAUGCACUAUACUAUGGACCUUGCCGAGACAAAGAUCCCCGAUGGGUACCAGCAAUCAUUAAGAAGUCAUUGGGUACUCCCUGCUUUAACGUCAGGGUCAUACCUCAUGGCCCGAUGUGGAGACGACACUGGGAACAGCUGCGACCGCGGUACACAACUGAGGAAGACAAUGAACCUGGUGAUGCAGAAGACACUGUAUUUGAAUUUGCAACAGAUCACCCGAUGGAGAUCUCGGAAACUGUGCCACUAACUCAAAGAUAAACCAGACCCAAGACCAUGUUACCUGUUCUGGAAUAUGGACCAGACAACCCAAGACGGUCCAAGAGAACCCGUAAAACCCAAGAGAGACUUUGCUGUUGAUACUUCUUGUGUAGCAUCAAUUUCAGUGGGGAGAUGUUAUAUGGACUGUUAGAUUUGUUUGUUGUUCGUCUGAAGUCCCAUAUUUCAAUGUUGUUCGUCUGAGGUCCCUGUUUCGCUGUUGUUUUGUGUGACUGUCGAGGUCAAAUGUUAUUGAUAUAUAUAUGGCAAGGACAACAUUCUUGUUUCUUGAUAACGAACAUUUGGUGAUUGCGUUCUUUGUUUAUAGUUAAUAAAUAAAUGUGAUAACUAAAUAGUACAACUCGUUGUGUUUUCUCUGCGAGUCCCCCGAGAGGAAUACAACAAAUUCUUUUGGGGUUGAUGAAAAAAGUACCACUUGAUCACUUGGAUUGAUGUAAUCAACUAGUUCCUUCCUCACAGAAUUUCAGGUCUUGUACCAACAGUAAAAAGGAUUAUUAUUAUUAUUGUUAUUAAGAUGGUGAGCUGGCAGAACUGUUAGCAUGCCAGGCAUAAUGCUUAGUGAUAUUUUGAUUGUCUUUACAUUCUGAACUCAAAUUCCACUGAGGUCAACCUUGGCUUUCAUUCUUAUGAUAUUGAUAAAAUAAGUACCAGUCAAGUUCUGAAGCUGAUGUAAUUGACUUUCUCCUUCCCUCACUAAUUGCUAGUCCUGUGCCAAAAUUUGAACCCUAAGGAGUGAACUGGCUGAAUUGUUAAUACACCAAACAAAAUGCUUAGGGCAAUUCUUUUGGUUAUUUACAUUCUGUGUUUAAAUCCCACUGAGAUCGACUUUGCCUUUCAUACUUACAGGGUUGAUUAAAGAAGCACCAUUCAAGUACUGGGGUAGACUUAACUGAUUUACAUUUAUCCUCUCCUCUAAAAUAGCUGGCCUUAUGCCAAAAUUUGAAACCUUUUAUGGUGGAGAGCUGACAGAAUGGUUAGCAUGCCAGAAAAAUUGCUUAGGAGCAUUUCAUCCAUCUUUAUGUUCUGAGUUUAAAUUCUGCUGAGGUCAAAUUUGCUUUUCAUCUUUCAGGGCUGAUAAAAUAAGUACUAGUCAAGUACUGAAGUUGAUGUAAUCUACUGGCUCCCCCAAACUCCCUGAAAAUUUCAGGCCUUGUGUAGAAAGCAUUAUUACUAUUAUUAUUAUUAUUAUGAUCAUUAUUAAUUUUCAUCCUUUCAGGGUUGAUAAAGUAAAUACCAGUCAAGCACUGGACUCAACAUAAUCGACUUACCCUCUCCCCAAAAUUGCUGGCCUUGUGCCAAAAUUAUCAUCAUCAUCACCAUCAUCAUUAUUAUUAAGGUGGCGAACUGGUAGAAUCAUUAGCAUGCUGAGCAAAAUGCUCAGCAACAUUUUAUCUAUCUUUAUGUUCUGAGUUUAUACUCUGCCGAGGUUGACUUUGCCUUUCAUUCUUUCAGGGUCGAUGAAAAAAGUACCAGUGAAACACUGGGGUCGAUGUAAUCGACUAGUCCCCUCUUACCAAAUUUCAGGCAUCAUGCCUAUAGUAGAAAGGAUUAUUAUUAUUAUUAAUAAGGCGACAAAUUGGCAGAAUCGUUAGCAUGCUGGGAAAAUGCUUAGCAGCAUUUCGUCCAUUUUUAUGUUCUGAGUUCAAAUUCUGUUGAGGUUGACUUUGCCUUUCAUCUUUUCAGGGUCGAGGAAAAAAGUACCAGUCAAGCACUUGGGUUGAUAUAAUCAACAAUACACCUCCCCACAAAAUGUCAAACCUUGUGUGCCUAUAGUAGGAAGGCUUAUUAUCAUCAUCAUCAUCAUCAUCGUCGUCAUCAUUAUUGCUGUUGUUGUUGUUGUUAUUGUUAUUAUAUUUCUGAUUGGAAGGCUAGAAUGUCUGUGGAAGCUUGACAGAUAUUUUUGUUAUCAAAACUACUGUUUUGGUUUACAUUAGUGUUUAAAAGGGAGCAUAAGAACUAAAUAUUUGGGCCUUGUGCUUAAAUAUAAGUAUAUGCAAAAUGUUUACAUGUUUGCAAAUGAAAAAUGACAUGGAAGGGAAUAACUUUCUAACACAAAACAAAUCAGUUUGUGACAGCAGGAAAAGUCAUGAAAAUGUAAUUUUUGCUGACACAAAUAACAAUUUGAGGACCACAGUCUUUAUGGACAGCAAUAAAAUUAACUGCAAAGAACAAAGAAGUAUUACGACAGAGAAAAAUGAUACAAUGGAAUACACACACUCACUCGAUAGUAACUGCCAACUCCCUAAACAGAAAUAGUGUGGAAAAUACCAUGAUAACUGAUACCAGCACAGAAAAUAACAACUCGAACAACAUGGAGUUGAGAAGCUUAACAGAAAACAAUAAUAGAAUGAAUAAUGACAACAAAAACAUCAAGAAUACAACCAAUACCAACACCAGUAACAGAGAGGUGGGUGUAUUUGGAAGUAACAAUAUCAGUAACAACAUGAACAAUUCCACCACCACCACCAACACCACCAUCAACAGUGAUAGCAGAACAAGUACUUUUGCAGCAACAGCUGUGAAAUGCCAACAAAAGUACUAUGAGAUGUUAGCCCUGGUCCACAAACUCAUCAAAAGAGAAAAAACCUGGGUAAACCUUGCGAUCCCAGCUGAAGUGGAGGUAGAAACUGAGAAGAGGACAGUAAAGUAUAAGUGCGUCUCAGUGCAGUCUCGGGGAGCAGAACAACCCUCCCACCUUCAAGUAGGAGAUGGCACUGAGAUCAAUCUAAGAGGAUGUUGAAUUCAUCCAAAGGGCCCAAAGUUUUGGUACCAUCUUGGUCCUUUUUAAAACAGAAGAGCUGGUCAUGAAGCAUUUGGUGGGACCCCGUAAAACUGACCAGCUUAUAAUGUACCCAUCCUACAUGGGCAGAAGAACAAUAAAAGUUUGAAUCCCUGGAAUAACAUCAGGUAUCAACAUAUGGUGGCUCAUGGGAUGCGUGAUCGCAGAGGGCAGUAAUACCCUUUUCCUAAAAGUCCAAUGGACACAAAGAGAAGACUGGGUUGGGAUGGAUUUGGAAAUGCUAAUCCAAAUAAAACCACAAGACUUGGAGAACAUCCCAGACCAUGUCUACCUCAAGGACAGGACAAAAUUACCUUUGAUCACCGAGGGCAGAAGGCCUCAUUGCUUCGCUUGUGGUGAAGCAACACACUUACAAGCAUGCUGCCCUCAGUGAAAAGGUACAUGGAUCUGUGGACCUCUGUUGACACCAACACCAAGGCUGGGAAAACAAAAGACAGCACCAGCUGUAGAAAGAUCAACACCAACAACAGGGAAAGCAGCAAAAAUAGCAACAGUGGUGGUGGUGGUGGCAAGCAUAACAACAGCACCAGCAGGAAAAACUGCUGGAGAGGUCAACCACAAAAACCAACUCUUUGUAACCAAGCUCAAUGACCCCCCACUCUCACAAACAAACAUGCAGUAAAAGAUAAACAUACAAAUACGAAUUCACUUCCACACAGAGAGGAGGAGGUUGCAACAGACACUGGUUCUAACACAUUGAAAAGUGAUGAUGAGGAGGAACAGAGUAAAUGAAAGAAACUGAAAAGAAGUCACAGAGAUGAGACAUCUUGUCCUGCACCAAAACAAGAUAACAAAGAAACUACACACACACCCACAACAAACACAGGCACUCAGACAACCCCUGCAGCACCACAAUCAUUAACUAAAGCACCACAAGCACCAAAAAACCCCACUGCAGACAGAAAAAAUCUCAAAAGGAAACUCACACCACAAACACAAGAACAGCAAAAAACAACGAUGCUGGCAGCUAACUCUGUGUUAGUAAGGAGAGCCAAAAAAAAAAACUGAUGGCCCUCUUAACAAAGGACUUAAUGAUGGUGAGGAUGGAUUUGGACACUUUCCAAACAAUUAGGGAUGCCUUUCCAGACAAUGUAGGGAUCCCUCAAGUAAUUGCCAAUGCAAGGCUUCUACAAGGGUUCCCAAAGGAGCCCAAUGAAGAAAUGGAGGUGGGACUACCUGAUCUCCAACAGUACCAGGAGGGAUGAUGGACAUACUGUUGAAAUAUUGUUUAAUUCAAUAAACAGAGACAAGAUUUUUGUGAUACAGACGAUACAUAUCUUCACAAUGGCUUCAGGCACUUCAAAACACCAAAGAUGCAUCAACAAGGCAAAUUUAUUCUGCUACAUGUGUGAGGAUUUCACAACAGUUGCACAGCACUGAACAAUUACUUCCCUCCUGAGAACUGCUUACUUUCAUUAUUUUGACUAUAAAAUUGGAGAUCAGGACAAAUCCUGGGCCCCACACAUUUGUUGUAAACCCUAUGGUUUAACGGCAAGAAAGCAGCCUUCAACUUUGCUGCCCCGAUGGUGUGAAGAGAGCCACAAAGCCAUGCAGAUGAUUGUUAUUUUUGUUGAACAAAUAUAACAGGUUUCAAUGUUUCUUUUAGAAAAAAGAUCAAAUGUCCCAACCUUCCCUCAGCUAUGAGACCUGUUCCCACUCAGAUGAUCUCCCUCUCCCUACACCCCCAGCAAAUAAGGAUCUUCUUUCAUCAGAUGAAGAAAUGACUUCAGGCGAAGAUUUUGCCAAAUCGAUCUCUUCUGAAGACAAUAUCUCUGUUUAUUCAGGCGUAAGUGGCAAUGAGCCCCACUGGAUCAUGCAGGAAGACCUGAAUGACCUUGCCUGUAAUUUGUAUCUAUUAAAGUAGCAGUCAGAGCUCCUGGCAUCCUGGCUUAAGCAGUGGAACCUGGUCAAGGCAAAUGUAAGGAUCACCAGUUUCAGGAUACGGAACCAGGACUUUGCUUCAUUCUUUGACAUGGAAAACAGGUUGUGCUACUACACAAAUGUCUCUGGCUUGUUCACCUUCCUUGGUUUCCCACACAGUCCUUCAGACUGGUGCCUUUUCAUUGACUCUUCCAAGUUAAGUCUGAAGGCUGUGCUUCUUGCACAAUGGGAAUAAAUACCCCAGCAUUCCCAUUGCCUUCUCAGUCCAUCUAAAAGAGUCGUAUAACAAUAUGGAGCUCCUUUUGGAAGUUGUCAAGUAUAACCAGUGCUAGUGGAGUCUCUGUGGGGACCUCAAGGACAUUGGGCUCCUUAUGGGUAUGCAAGCAGGCUUCACAAAGUACUGUUGCUUUCUCUGUCUCUGGGACAGUUGGACUGUGUCCAAGCACUACAAGCAGAAGGACUGGGGAUCUUGGAGCACUUUCGUACCUGGUGAACAGUGUCCAAGAAAAUCCUCUGAUUGACAUGAACAAGGUGCUUCUUCCUCCUCUUCAUAUCAAGCUUGGUUUAAUGAAGAAUUUCAUGCCUUCCAACACUUGUGCUCUCUGUUUCCAGCUCUGAGUUCUGCUAAGCUCAAGGAGAAUAUCUUUGUCGGACCUCAGAUCCGAGAGGUGCUGAAAGAUAAGGACUUUGAGGAGCUUCUUAUCUUAAAGAAACUGAGAGCAUUAGAAGCAUUUAAGUCAAGCUGCUAUGGCUUCCUUGGUAACACAUGGGUACUAGAUUACCAAGAGUGUAUCGAGAAGUUGUUACAGUCUUAUGAGGUUAUGGGAUGCUGAACGUCGCUCAAAAUUCACUUUCUCCACUACCACCUCAACUCCUUCCCUCCAAAGCUCGGAGCAGUGAGUGAUGAGCAUGGAGAAAGGUUCCACCAAGAUAUUACUAAGAUGGAGAGCAACUACCAAGGCAAGUGGAACCCCAGCAUGAUGGGGGACUUUUGCUGGAUGCUCUUGCAUGACUUCCCAGAGGCAAUGUACACAAGAUCAUCCAAAAAAUUCACUUCUAACUGUCUACUAUACUAUGAUUUGUGUAUAUUGUAUUAUCCAAGUAAUUUAGUUCCAUCAAUGUUCUCUAUCUAUGCUGUUUUUUUUUUCUGUAAUAUGCCUUUGUAACAGAUGAAAUAAAUACAUAUUUUGAAUCUAUAUGCAGUAUAAUUAAAAUAUGUAAAAGCUAAAAAACGAGGUGAUAGAACAAACCUGUUCAGAAAAUUGAAUUCACCACAUCAAAAUUAGUAAAAAAAACAUCUAUUCACAUCCUCACCUCAGAGCAAAAAAAAAAUUUUUGUAAACCAAUGUAAUUAUUGUGCAAUGUCAAAACAAGGUAACACAAACUCACACACACACACGCAUGUGCACAUACACACACACACACACUCACAGACAGACACACACACACACACAAGGCUUCUUCAGUUGCCAUGAGCUAAAGCAAAAGACACUUGCCCAAGGUGCCUUGCAGUGGAAAUAAACCCUAAAUCACAUGAUAGGGAAGCAAACUUCUUGAUCACACAUCACAUACCCAUUCCUGUAUCUAAUAAAAAAAUUAAUGUAC